AGUGAGACUGCCGGUGACAAACCGGAGGAAGGUGGGGGAUGACGUCAAGUCCUCAUGGCCCUUAUGGUAGGGCUUCACACGUCAUACAAUGGUCGGUACAGAGGGUUGCCAAGCCGCGAGGUGGAGCCAAUCCCUUAAAGCCGAUCGUAGUCCGGAUCGUAGUCUGCAACUCGACUACGUGAAGUCGGAAUCGCUAGUAAUCGCAGAUCAGCAUGCUGCGGUGAAUACGUUCCCGGGUCUU
rnacentral:rRNA from 1 species